rnacentral:rRNA from 1 species
UACGUAGGGUGCAAGCGUUGUCCGGAAUUAUUGGGCGUAAAGAGCUCGUAGGCGGUCUGUCGCGUCUGCUGUGAAAACUCAGGGCUUAACCCUGAGCUUGCAGUGGGUACGGGCAGACUAGAGUGCGGUAGGGGAGACUGGAAUUCCUGGUGUAGCGGUGAAAUGCGCAGAUAUCAGGAGGAACACCGGUGGCGAAGGCGGGUCUCUGGGCCGUAACUGACGCUGAGGAGCGAAAGCAUGGGGGAGCGAACAGGG